rnacentral:rRNA from 1 species
CCUACGGGAGGCAGCAGUGGGGAAUAUUGGACAAUGGGCGCAAGCCUGAUCCAGCCCAUGCCGCGUGUGUGAAGAAGGUCUUCGGAUUGUAAAGCACUUUAAGUUGGGAGGAAGGGCAGUAAGCGAAUACCUUGCUGUUUUGACGUUACCGACAGAAUAAGCACCGNAU